UACGUAGGGUGCAAGCGUUAUCCGGAAUUAUUGGGCGUAAAGAGCUCGUAGGCGGUUUGUCGCGUCUGCCGUGAAAGUCCGGGGCUCAACUCCGGAUCUGCGGUGGGUACGGGGCAGACUAGAGUGCAGUAGGGGGAGACUGGAAUUCCUGGUGUAGCGGUGAAAUGCGCAGAUAUCAGGAGGAACACCGAUGGCGAAGGCAGGUCUCUGGGCUGUAACUGACGCUGAGGAGCGAAAGCAUGGGGGAGCGAACAGG
rnacentral:rRNA from 1 species